rnacentral:lncRNA from 10 species
UAUGUAACCUAUAAUCUUAAUUAAAUUUAGCAAAUUGUUUUACUGUAAUUUCCUGUUUCUGCUCCAGAAUUCCAUCCAGAAUUACACUUUGCAUUUUGCUUACAUGUCUCCUUACUCUCCUUUAAUGUGGAUCAGUCUUGUUUUAGUCUUUGCCUCUAAUGAUUUUGGAACUUUUUUCAAGAGUACUGGCUGGUUAUUUUGUAGAAUGUCUCUCAGUUUCGAUUUGUCUGGUGAUCCUUUUUGUUUGUUUGUUUGUUUUGAGAUGGAGUCUCACUCUGUCCCCCAGGCUGGACUUCAGUGGCGAGCUAUCCUGGCUCACUUUGCAACCUCUGCCUCCCAGGUUCAAGCGAUUCACCUGCCUCAGCCUCCCCAGUAGCUGGAAUUACAGGCACCCGCCACCAUGCCUGGCUAAUUUUUGUGUUUUUAGUAGAGGUGGGGUUUCACCAUGUUGGCCAGGCUGAUCUCAAACUCCUGACCUCAAGUGAUUUGGCCGCCUUAGCCUCCCAAGGAGUGAGCCACCGUGCCCGGCCUGUCUGGUGAUUCUUCAUGAUUAAAUUUAGGUUGCCAGUUUUUGGUGAGAACUCCUGGAAGUGAUAUGGUGUCCUCCUCACUGCAUUAUAUUAGGAGGCAUGUGGUGUUGUCCUGUUACUUAACCAAUUAUAUUUAGAUAGUGCAUUAUGCUGUUAGGACUUCUGAAAACACACCCCAUGGUGCAAAAUACCCAUUGAAUCUUUUUUAAGGUAUAUGCCUUAAGAUUAUGAUUACUUUGUCAAAGGUUACAAACUAAAUUAUUUUGCCAAAGUGCUUUUUAAAUAAGCUGCCUCUGUUUAUACUGAAUAGGUUGCUUCUUCAAAGGGGAAAAUAGGAUCCCAGCUCUGUAACUUGUAAUUUUUUUUCGAAUUUAUUUUCAUUAGUUGGCUUCUUGUGUUCUAGUUGGCAAGCCCAAAUCUCAGCACAUAGCACGGUGGUUUGAGUGUAUAGUGGCAGGUUGGCUAUUCUUCAGGACUGAGGUGAAUGUACAAAUACUUAAUGAUUGAGUUCUUGUUCAUAAUUUUGGGGUUUGGUCUAAGGACCCUUAGUUUAUAAAUUCUCUGAUUACUUUUUAAGAAAAAAAGUGAUCUUGAAUUUAAAGAAAUGUAAGGGAUAGUGGUGGGGUGGGAAAUUCAUUAUGUUAGAGGAGAUUUCCUGGCAUUGGAAGGGAGAUUUUGAAAUUAAUGCUGUAGUGAAACACAAGAAGAUUAAGGUGAGGAGGAGGCUGGUCAUAGUUUUGUAUUUGAAAUGCCUGUCUUGCCUCUUAGUUAGUAGAAUUAGUACCAUAAUCUAGGACCCUUGACUUCUUAACAAGUUUACUCUGCCUUGCAACCUCACACUCUCUUCCAGUUCUCUCUGCAGGAUUUUUCUUAGGUUCUUCUUUGUUCAUUACAUAGAAACCUGGAGCUUAUCCAUAUUAGGAGGUGCUUAGCCUGCCCCUUUGCUGCUGUUUCUGAAUAUAUGUGUUUAGUUCAGCACUCACAUAUUUUAAAUGAGCAAUCUCUUAGGUUUUCAGAGAAGUAGAACAUUGUUGUGUCUCUUACAGCAGAAUAUUCAUUAUUGAAUGUAGUGUCAACCUGAAUUUCUAUCAGGUUUUGUCUUAACUAUUUAGGAAUUUGGUAAGGUAAUACACUCUUGAUGAUGAAGACUUUCUGAAAAAUAGUUUUUAGGAUGUUGAGCUAUUAAAAUAUCCUCCAAGAUAGUUUUAAAAUGUUUUAUUUAAAUGAAGCUAUUACAGUUAUGCGUAUAUUAUUCAGUCAGGGAGUUUAAUAUUUUUGAGUGCUUAAAAUGUGUAGAACGUGCCUUUAUUAGAGCCUAUGAGUAGGUUAAGAGUAUAUAUGUGUGUGAAAAGUUAAAGGUGCAAAACCAUAAUUGUUUGUUUUAUUUGAGAUGGAGUCUAACUCAUUGGAGUGCAGUGGCACAAUGUCGGCUCACUGCAACCUCUGCCUCCCGGGUUCAUUCAAGCAAUUCUCCUGGCUCAGCCUCCCGAGUAGCUGGGAUUACAGUCGUGUGCCACCACAUCCAAUUUUUUUUUUUUUCCCAGUAGAGACGGGGUGUCACCCAGGCUGGUAAUCUUUAUUUUAAAUUGUACUUGCUCCUAAGAAUUUAGGUGUUAAGAGCAUAGCAUGUAGAAGGAAAAAAUAAAGCUGCUGUAACCUCAUCCUGCCUUCUUGGAGGUAAUCUCUGUUAGUCCUUUGUGUAUCCUGGGAAUUUAUGUGCAAAGUAAACAAUUCUGUCCUUGAAGAAUAAGGAUCAUAUACUUAGUUUGGUAAAUUGUACAAAACUACACACUUUGAUGUAUAUCUUAUGUUUCAUUUUGACAGGUACCUCCUUACUCUUUUGUUUUUUGGAGACAGUCUCGCCCUAUCGCCCAGGUUGGAGUGCAGAUGGCACAACCUCUGCCUCCUGGGUUCAAGUGAUUCUUCUGUCUCAGUCUCCUGAGUAGCUGGGAUUACAGGCGCCUGCCACCACACCCAGCUAAUUUUUGUAUUUUUAGUAGAGACGGAGUUUCGCCAUGUUAGCCAGGCUGGUCUCGAACUCCUGACCUCAGGUGAUCCACCCACCUUGGCCUCCUAAAGUGUGGGAUUACAGGCGUGAGCCACCACAACCAGCCCGUACCUCCUCACUCUUAAUGUCUGUAUAGUAUUCUAUUAUUUGGGUAUGUAGCAACUUACUUAGCCAGACCCUCCUUUU